rnacentral:rRNA from 1 species
GACGAACGCUGGCGGCGUGCUUAACACAUGCAAGUCGAACGGAAAGGCCCUGCUUUUGUGGGGUGCUCGAGUGGCGAACGGGUGAGUAACACGUGAGUAACCUGCCCCUGACUGUGGGAUAACUUCAGGAAACUGGGGCUAAUACCGGAUAGGAGCUCCUGCUGCAUGGUGGGGGUGGGAAAGAUUCGGCGGUUGGGGAUGGACUCGCGGCUUAUCAGCUUGUUGGUGGGGUAGUGGCUUACCAAGGCUUUGACGGGUAGCCGGCCUGAGAGGGUGACCGGCUACACUGGGACUGAGCUACGGCACAGCCUCGUAUGGGAGGCAGCAGUGGAGAGUAUUGCACAAUAGGCGGGAGGCUGAUGCAGCAACGCCGCGUGUGGGAUGACGGGCUUCGGGUUGUAAACCGAUUUCGCCUGUGCCGAGGCGUGAGUGACAGUACUGGGUAAAGAAGCACCGGCUAACUACGUG